rnacentral:rRNA from 1 species
UACGUAGGGUGCAAGCGUUGUCCGGAAUUAUUGGGCGUAAAGAGCUCGUAGGCGGUCUGUCACGUCGGCUGUGAAAUCCCGAGGCUCAACCUCGGGUCUGCAGUCGAUACGGGCAAACUAGAGUAUUGCAGGGGAGACUGGAAUUCCUGGUGUAGCGGUGAAAUGCGCAGAUAUCAGGAGGAACACCGGUGGCGAAGGCGGGGUCUCUGGGCAAUAACUGACGCUGAGGAGCGAAAGCGUGGGGAGCGAACAGG